rnacentral:rRNA from 1 species
GACGAACGCUGGCGGCGUGCCUAACACAUGCAAGUCGAGCGGAGAAAUUAAAGCUUGCUUUAAUUUCUUAGCGGCGGACGGGUGAGUAGCACGUGGGCAACCUGCCCUUGAGAGGGGGAUAACACAGAGAAAUUUGUGCUAAUACCGCAUAACAUUUAGACUUCGCCUGGAGUUUAAAUCAAAGGAGUAAUCCGCUCAAGGAUGGGCCCGCGGCGCAUUAGCUAGUUGGUGAGGUAAUGGCUCACCAAGGCGACGAUGCGUAGCCGACCUGGGAGGGUGAUUGGCCACAUUGGAACGGAGACACGGUCCAGACUCCUACGGGAGGCAGCAGUGGGGAAUGUUGCGCAAUGGGGGAAACCCUGACGCAGCAACGCCGCGUGAGCGAUGAAGGCCUUCGGGUUGUAAAGCUCUGUCUUUGGGGACGAUAAUGACGGUACCCAAGGAGGAAGCCACGGCUAACUACGUGCCAGCCGCCGCAGUAACAC